UCCUCGAUGGCUCAACGGUAGAGCAUUCGGCUGUUAACCGAAGGGUUGCUGGUUCGAAUCCAGCUCGGGGAG
rnacentral:tRNA from 1 species